CAGGUGAUCCACAAAUAGAAUACACUGCCCUCUGACAAGAAUUAUUGGAGUUACGAAAACAUAAAAAUAAAAACAAAAUAAGAAAAAAAAUAGAAAACUACCAUACAGCUUUACUUAUUAAUGAACACAAUUCGAUGGUCAAAAAAGUAUUGUAUGGAGAGUGUGACAUCGAUAGAGAAGGAGAAUGAAAUGAAGAUUUAGAUACUGAAUGGGAGUGUGAUGUGAAUUUCGACGGUAUCGAAAAAUGAAGAU